rnacentral:rRNA from 1 species
UGCCUUAGUAACUGCGAGUGAAGCGGCAAAAGCUCAAAUUUGAAAUCUGGCGUCUUCGACGUCCGAGUUGUAAUUUGGAGGGGCAUCUUCGGAAUUGGCGCCGUCCUAAGUUCCUUGGAACAGGACGUCAUAGAGGGUGAGAAUCCCGUGCCUGGAUGGCUGUCCAAUUCCAUGUGAAGUGUCUCCGACGAGUCGAGUUGUUUGGGAAUGCAGCUCAAAAUGGGUGGUAAAUUUCAUCUAAAGCUAAAUAUUGGCGAGAGACCGAUAGCGCACAAGUAGAGUGAUCGAAAGAUGAAAAGCACUUUGAAAAGAGAGUUAAAAAGUACGUGAAAUUGUUGAAAGGGAAGCGCUUGAGACCAGACUCAAUCUUAGGUGAUCAGCCGUGCUUCUGUACGGUGCACUUGCCUUUGAUUGGGCCAGCAUCAGUUCUGACGGUGGGAUAAAAUGCGAAGGAAUGUGGCUCUCUUCGGGGAGUGUUAUAGCCUUUGUAACAAUGCCACCAGUUGGGACUGAGGACCGCGCUUCGGCUAGGAUGCUGGCGUAAUGGUCUUAAGCGACCCGUCUUGAAACACGGACCAAGGAGUCUAACAUCUAUGCGAGUGUUCGGGUGGAAAACCCUUGCGCGUAAUGAAAGUGAACGGAGGUGUGAACCCCUCGGGGUGCAACAUCGACCGAUCCUGAUGUUUUCGGAAGGAUUUGAGUAAGAGCAUAGCUGUUGGGACCCGAAAGAUGGUGAACUAUGCCUGAAUAGGGUGAAGCCAGAGGAAACUCUGGUGGAGGCUCGCAGCGGUUCUGACGUGCAAAUCGAUCGUCAAAUUUGGGUAUAGGGGCGAAAGACUAAUCGAACCAUCUAGUA